CUGCUUCAGGAGAUCUGACGUGGGGCCCGAGGGUCUGCAUUUCUAGCAAGCUUCUCAGUGAUGCUGAUGCCGCUGGGCCGGGGCCCGCAUUUUGAGUAGCAACCAAGUAGAUGGGGAGGAGAGAGGGUCAGCCCUGUGUCACUCCAACAUCUAAAAUGGGGAGGAGCCAGCAAAGGAACCUGAGGAGAGCUCUCCGUGAUGUGAAAUAAAGUGUUUCAAGAAGGGAGUCGUCGGCUCAUUCAGGUGCUGUUGAAGGAAGAUGAACACAACUAACUGUUAGAUUGGGGGGAUUGUCGUUAACAAGCUGCACGUUUGGAGUCUGGAUUGUGAGCAGAAGGGGACUGAAAUAGAGAUGGCAACUGCAGACAAGCCUUGCAAAGGGGAACAGAGAUGGGUUAUAACUGAGGCGGAGGUGAGCUAAGGGAGGACUUAAGCUAUUCGGGAAAUAGUAUGGCAUGAUUGACUAUAUGCUGGAGGAAUCCCGUUAGGAGGGGCAAGUGAAUGCUGUUGAUGGGGAAACUGAAUAGGCAAGACGGAG
rnacentral:lncRNA from 1 species